rfam:Triticum aestivum genome assembly, contig: Triticum_aestivum_CS42_TGACv1_scaffold_226219_3B
AUUACACUUCCUCCGUCCUAAAAUUUUUGUCUUACAUUUGUCUAGAUACCGAUGUGUCUAAUACUAAAAAGUGACUUGAUACAUCCGUAUGCAGACAAAUCUAAGACAAAAAUUUUGGGACGAAGGGAGUACAUU